rnacentral:rRNA from 1 species
UACGUAGGGGGCUAGCGUUGUCCGGAAUCAUUGGGCGUAAAGAGCGUGUAGGCGGCCCGGUAAGUCCGCUGUGAAAGUCGGGGGCUCAACCCUCGAAUGCCGGUGGAUACUGUCGGGCUAGAGUGCAGAAGGGGCAACCGGAAUUCUUGGUGUAGCGGUGAAAUGCGUAGAUAUCAAGAGGAACACCUGAGGUGAAGACGGGUUGCUGGGCUGACACUGACGCUGAGGCGCGAAAGCCAGGGGAGCGAACGGG